GAUGAACGCUAGCGGGAGGCUUAACACAUGCAAGUCGAGGGGCAGCAUAGGGUAGCAAUACUCUGAUGGCGACCGGCAAACGGGUGAGUAACGCGUAUGCAACCUACCCUGUACAGGGGGAUAACCCGGAGAAAUUCGGACUAAUAUCCCGUAAUAAUAUCCGGAGGCAUCUUUGGAUAUUUAAAGUUUCGACGGUACGGGAUGGGCAUGCGUAACAUUAGCUGGUUGGUAAGGUAACGGCUUACCAAGGCUAUGAUGUUUAGGGGUCCUGAGAGGGUGGUCCCCCACACUGGUACUGAGACACGGACCAGACUCCUACGGGAGGCAGCAGUGAGGAAUAUUGGUCAAUGGGCGCAAGCCUGAACCAGCCAUCCCGCGUGCAGGAAGACGGCCCUAUGGGUUGUAAACUGCUUUUCCAGGGAGAGAAACUUACGCACGUGUUGCGUGACUGACGGUACCCUGGGAAUAAGCAUCGGCUAACUCCGUGCCAGCAGCCGCGGUAAAAGCACGUCG
rnacentral:rRNA from 1 species